UGCGUAUUUGCAACUUCGAUCGUGAAAGAAGAAUCCGACAAGUUAGGAACUAUUAUCGGGAUUGAUCUCGGGACUAUUUAUUCAUGUGUUGGUGUUUAUAAGAACGGACACAUUGGAAUCAUAGCCAAUGAUCAAGGAAACCGUAUCACCCCAUCGUGGGUGACUUUUACGGACAAUGAGAGGUUGAUCGGUGAGGCGGUCAAGAAUCAGGAGGCUGUAAAUGCCGAAAGGACCUUAUUUGAUGUCAAGAGACUCAUUGGCAGAAAGUGUGAACUUAAUACUAUAUUCUUGCGUCGUGGGAUAUAACUGAGAUUCUUCACGAUUCGGUUCUGUUGGAGAGGUUUCGAUCGAUUUUGCAAGUUAUGCAGAGGCUACAAAGCUUUCUUCUCUAUCUCUUCCUCUUAUAAACGCUAAUUCUGGAGCUGUAUUGCAUGUAUCGAUUCAAAGGGUGCAACGGACUUCUGAUCAGAGGGACAUUGAUGGAAUUUAUGAUGACGGUCAUUAUGAUCGAAGCUUGAGGUUACACUUUGGCAAUGGUGACGUAGAAGAGAGUUCCGAUGCUUUUUCUAUGAUAAAUCUGUACAGUACUUUGAAUGGCUUUGGUUGUCAUUUGUGGUCAACCAUGCAGCGGGAAGUCAACAGGCGGCUCUUUG